UUCUGGUUGAUCCUGCCGGAGGCUACCGCUAUUGGAGUUCGAUUAAGCCAUGCGAGUCGCGAGAAAUUAGAUUCUCGGCGUACCGCUCAGUAACACGUGGGUAACCUGCCCUAUGCUGGAUAAUAACCUCGGGAAACUGAGAAUAAUGAUCCAUAGUUCACUACGCCUGGAACGGUGAGUGGAUGAAAGCUCCGGCGGCAUAGGAUGGGCCUGCGGCGUAUCAGGUUGUAGGGGGUGUAACGUACCCUCUAGCCCUCUACGCGUACGGGUGUUGGGAGACAUAGCCCGGAGAUGGAUUCUGAGACACGAAUCCAGACCCUACGGGGUGCAGCAGGCGCGAAAACUUGGCAAUGCGAGAAAUCGUGACCAGGGAACUCCAAGUGCAUCGGGUAAGACCGGUGCUUUUCUUGACUCUAAAUAGGUCUUGGAAUAAGGGGUGGGUAAGGACGGUGCCAGCCGCCGCGGUAAUACCGGCGCCUCAAGUGGUAGUCGCUUUUAUUGGGCCUAAAACGUCCGUAGCCGGUCUGAUACAUUCGUGGGUAAAUCAACCAGCUCAACUGGUUGAAUUCUGCGAGGACGGUCAGACUUGGGACCGGGAGAGGUGUGGGGUACGCUCAGGGUAGGGGUAAAAUCCUGUCAUCCUGAGCGGACCACCUGUUGCGAAGGCGCCACACUAGAACGGAUCCGACGGUCAGGGACGAAGCCUAGGGCACGAACCGGAUUAGAUACCCGGGUAGUCCUAGGUGUAAACGCUGUGGACUUGAU
rnacentral:rRNA from 1 species